UACGAAGGGGGCUAGCGUUGUUCGGAAUUACUGGGCGUAAAGCGUGCGCAGGCGGUUAUGUAAGACAGAUGUGAAAAUCCCCGGGCUUAACCUGGGAACUGCGCUUGUGACUGGAAGACUAGAGUAUGGCAGAGGGGGGUGGAAUUCCACGUGUAGCAGUGAAAUGCGUAGAGAUGUGGAGGAACACCGAUGGCGAAGGCAGCCCCCUGGGCCAAUACUGACGCUCAUGCACGAAAGCGUGGGUAGCAAACAGGAUUAGAAACCCCUGUAGU
rnacentral:rRNA from 1 species